AUAAAAGGUUUGAUCCUGGCUCAGAUUAGAAGCGCUGGCGGCAUGCCUAACACAUGCAAGUCGAACGGCAGCCACAGCAGUAGCAAUACUGUGGGUGGCGAGUGGCGGACGGGUGAGUAAUGCAUCGGGACCUACCCAGACGUGGGGGAUAACCUCCGGGGAAACCCGGGACUAAUACCGCAUACGUCCUACGGGAGAAAAGCGGGGGACCUUCGGGCCUCGCGCGGUUGGACGGACCGAUGUGCGAUUAGCUAGUUGGUAGGGUAAUGGCCUACCACAGGCGACGAAUCGCUAGCUGGUCUGAGAGGAUGAUCAGCCACACUGGGACUGAGACACGGCCCAGACUCCUAGGGGAGUUCAAGCUGUGGGGAAUAUUGGACAAUGGGCGAAAGCCUGAUCCAGCAAUGCCGCGUGUGUGAAGAAGGCCUUCGGGUUGUAAAGCACUUUUAUUAGGAAGGGAAAUCCCAUCGGGUAAUAACCGGCGGGGAAAAAAAAAAAACMURAGGAAUAAGCCCCCGCUUACUUUCUUGCCAGCCGGCCGCGGUAAUACGAAAGGUGCCAAGCGUUAAUCGGAAUUACUGGGCGUAAAAGGGUGCGUAGGCGGUUUCGUUAAGUCUCGUCGUGAAAUCCCCCGGGCUCAACCUGGGAAUUGGCGAAUGGAUACUCUGGCGAGCUAGAGUGUGUCAGAGAGAUGGUGGAAUUCCCGGUGUAGCCGGUGAAAUGCGUAGAGAUCGGGAGGAAGAUCAGUGGCGAAGGCGGCCAUCUGGGACAACACUGACGCUGAAGCACGAAAGCGUGGGGAGCAAACAGGUUUAAUUACCCUGGUAGUCCACGCCCUAAACGAUGCGCGCUCGAUGUUGGUCUCAACUCGGAGAUCAUUGUCGAAGCUAACGCGUUAAGUCGCCCGCCUGGAGUUGACGGUCGCAAGACUGAAACUCAAAGGAAUUGACGGGGGCCCGCACAAGCGGUGGAGUAUGUGGUUUAAUUCGAUGCAACGCGAAGAACCUUACCUGGCCUUGACAUGUCCGGAAUCCUGCAGAGAUGCGGGAGUGCCUUCGGGAAUCGGA
rnacentral:rRNA from 1 species